rnacentral:rRNA from 1 species
GACGUAGGGUGCGAGCGUUGUCCGGAUUUAUUGGGCGUAAAGAGCUCGUAGGCGGCUUGUCGCGUCGACCGUGAAAACUUGGGGCUCAACCCCAAGCCUGCGGUCGAUACGGGCAGGCUAGAGUGUGGUAGGGGAGAUCGGAAUUCCUGGUGUAGCGGUGAAAUGCGCAGAUAUCAGGAGGAACACCGGUGGCGAAGGCGGAUCUCUGGGCCAUUACUGACGCUGAGGAGCGAAAGCGUGGGGAGCGAACAGG